GCAGACACAUUCCAGCCAAUCAGCAGCAGACCCUCCCUCCCAGACCCUCCCGCCUCCUGGACAGCAUCCAUUUUGAAGCUGCAUUCUUAGUGAGCUGUCCAGAAGGUGGGAGGGUCUGGGAGGGAGGGUCUGCUGCUGAUUGGCUGGAAUGUGUCUG
rnacentral:miRNA from 1 species